CCUACGGGGGGCAGCAGUGGGGAAUAUUGCGCAAUGGGCGAAAGCCUGACGCAGCGACGCCGCGUGAGGGAUGAAGGUCUUCGGAUCGUAAACCUCUGUCAGCAGGGAAGAACGGUCACUGUGCUAAUCAGCAGUGAAUUGACGGUACCUGCAAACGAAGCACCGGCUAACUCCGUGCCAGCAGCCGCGGUAAUACGGAGGGUGCGAGCGUUAAUCGGAAUUACUGGGCGUAAAGCGCUCGUAGGCGGUAUGUCAAGUCAAGGGUGAAAUCCCCGCGCUCAACGUGGGAACUGCAUUUGAAACUGGCAAACUGGAGUGUGUGAGAGGAUAGUGGAAUUCCAGGUGUAGGGGUGAAAUGCGUAGAUAUCAGGAGGAACAUCAGUGGCGAAGGCGACUAUCUGGCACAUAACUGACGCUGAGGAGCGAAAGCGUGGGUAGCAAACAGGAUUAGAUACCCUGGUAGUC
rnacentral:rRNA from 1 species